rnacentral:rRNA from 1 species
UACGAAGGGGGCUAGCGUUGCUCGGAAUCACUGGGCGUAAAGGGUGCGUAGGCGGGUCUUUAAGUCAGGGGUAAAAUCCUGGAGCUCAACUCCAGAACUGCCUUUGAUACUGAAGAUCUUGAGUUCGGGAGAGGUGAGUGGAACUGCGAGUGUAGAGGUGAAAUUCGUAGAUAUUCGCAAGAACACCAGUGGCGAAGGCGGCUCACUGGCCCGAUACUGACGCUGAGGCGCGAAAGCUAGGGGAGCAAACAGG